rnacentral:rRNA from 1 species
GACGAACGCUGGCGGCGUGCUUAACACAUGCAAGUCGAACGGAAAGGCCCUGCUUUUGUGGGGUGCUCGAGUGGCGAGCGGGUGAGUAACACGUGAGUAACCUGCCCUUGACUUUGGGAUAACUUCAGGAAACUGGGGCUAAUACCGGAUAGGAGCUCCUGCUGCAUGGUGGGGGUUGGAAAGUUUCGGCGGUUGGGGAUGGACUCGCGGCUUAUCAGCUUGUUGGUGGGGUAGUGGCUUACCAAGGCUUUGACGGGUAGCCGGCCUGAGAGGGUGACCGGCAACAUGGGGACUGAGAUACGGCCCAGAAUCCUACGGGAGGCAGCAGUGGGGAAUAUUGCACAAUGGGCGGAAGCCUGAUGAAGAAACGCCGCGUGCGGGAUGACGGCCUUCGGGUUGUAAACCGCUUUCGCCUGUGACGAAGCGUGAGUGACGGUAAUGGGUAAAGAAGCACCGGCUAACUACGUG